UGCGCCUGGUGCACAGGGACGGGAAGGAGCAGAGGGCACCCGGGCUCCCGCCUUCUGGGCCAGUGGCUUUCCAGUUAGGGGCUGGUGCAUGGCUGGGGCCCUUGCUGCAGUGUCCCUGAGGAAGGAAAGCAUCUGGGCCUAGGUGAUGGAGCUGGCCUUGCUGCCCGCUGGCGGCACUCCGGGCUUAUUCAGGACCAGAAGUGCAGGAGCAGGGCGUGCUUGGCACCUUGUUAGCAUGACUUCUUGUGCAUAAUGCUUCUAGCCUGUGUCUCACUUGGCUGAUCAUCCUCUCCAGGCAUUUGGAGACUGUUACGCAGAGCCCUUUGGCUGCCUUCACAGGCAGUGACUGCUGCCCUUGGUUUGGAAUUGUUCUUGGAAGCUCAGUAUUUAGCUAGCUCAACCUGCAGAAGAGAGGUCUGUCCCUGGCCUAAGCACUGGCCUUUCAGAAGUUAGUGUGUUCUUCCGGCCGAGGAGUAGUAGGAUCACUGAGCUCACUGCCUUGUAGGGAAGGUUUGCAAACUCUGUCUAAGGUGGAGAAUUGAUUUUUUUUCUGUAAUUGACAUGCAGUUCUCUAUUUCACGAACCUCUUGUUCUGGGAUGUGAAGAGCCUACCUCUGGAACAGCAUCUGUAUGUGAUAAAAACAGUUUGUCUGCAAGGCAGGGGCUGGUGAGACUCUCAGGAAUGAUGGAGGCAAAUUCUGUGAGUGACUUCUCGGAGUACCAGGCUAGUCUUCUGAAGUCUCUUGAAAACCUGCCAAGAGAAUCCCUGGGCACACAGUUUGUUGGCCUGUCAGCUGGCUGCUCCUCCCCAUGGCUGCCCCAGAUUGACUGCAACUUGCUGCCCCUCCUAGGAAACACACAUGCUUGUCCAUACUGCUGCUGGAUGUGGCUAUGACUCCAGAGAGUCCAGAGUGUUUGCUGCCUCAGAAUUGGCAGUGUUUGGAGAGUGGAAAGAGCUCAGUCAUCCCACUACAUAUAAGCCCAGCUGCAAGGAUCUCCUGAACUUAUGGAGGACGUGAGAUUAUCCUGAAGGUUCCGUUCAGGGCUCUGCUCACCACAGGGAGGCUUUGGCAAUUGAUGAGAACUCAGAUAAGGGGGAGUAGGGACCCUUCCCCUGCAGCGGGCACUCCAAGUCAGGUAAGGGUGCCCUCAGUCGGGGCAGCGCUGUGGGAGGGGAGAAGGGAAGAUGAUGCCUGGUGGGAGAGCUCGUGUCUCCGCAGGGCUGCUGCCGGUGCAGAUCUUUAACCAGAAAGAGGCGAAGUCCCGGCCCCCUCCAGCCUGACACCAGCACCCGGAGGAGCAACAGCGUCCCUGGGCGAAGCGCGCGUCUGCACGCUCAGCGCACGCGGCGGGCGUUGCUCUGGAGCAGCCCCAGGGUUGCGUCCUUGUUACAGUCGGACCAAAAGGCGCCAGCGCGCGGACGAGGCCGCAGGGGGCGCUGCAGCACGUGCCGCGAGAGCCCUCGGGGGAUGGGGAAUGCAUGGCUAGCCUGUUGCCAUGGCUACGGUGACAGCCAUCGUUAAGUGGAGCAAUUCCUUCUUGCUGCUGCAUGUUAUGUGGGAGAAAUCUCUCUGGAAGCCAGGUGCUGUGGACUUCCUCCUCUGAGACCGUUCUCACAGACAGAUGUCUUAUAACCAAAGAGGGCUUCCUCGUGGGAACUGAUCUCCACUCCUAGGAUUCACCUUCUGGACAGCACAGGUUUCAGUUGCCACCACUCCCAUGGGCUGAUGAUUGCUUGUACUGGAAACCCCUUGGCUCGAAAGCAUGGAUGACUACCAAGCAUUGGGGCAGUAGUGAAAAAAGUACUUUGGAAGAGCAGCACCUGAUCCCAGACCAUGGAGCUUGCAGUUUCAGGUUUGACCAAAGGCCCAGGUGCAUCUCUCUUCAGCAUGUGCAAGGUUGUGAUGGCAGUAGCUCCCCUUUUCUCUGUCUGGUCCUAUCCCAGGAAUCCCCAAUCAGCAGGUUAUGGGAGAAUGAGAAGACUUUGUAGCUAUUACUUUUGCAACAAUGCUUUUCCUUACCACCUGUCUGGUUCCUGCCUUCCCCUGGAAGUCUGCUUCCUCCACUCCAGAACUGCUAGGUGCCAACAUGGCCUUUCAUGCAGCUAGUCAGUGUUGUGACCUGUUAGCAGGAAUUGCCUCAUGCAAUGCCAUGAUGAGGAUGCAAGAUGAACCAGGUAGGAUUGAAGGAGUGGGGUAAGAAGAGGGAGCCAGGGGCUUUUGGAGAGGGGUUGGUGGGUUUUUUACCAGCUGGAGAUAAUGACGCAUAUCUCCUGUACAAUGCAGACCAAAUAAUUUCUCUCAAGAAACUGAAUUCAGCCCCGAACGUGUGGUUAAGCUGCAGUACCCCAAGGUCUCCAGUCUUGCUGUAAAUGCGGUGCCACUGGAGAAACACCCCAAGGCCCUAGCGCAGCAUGUCAAACUGCCAAGUCCCCGGUGCACGCAGCAGCCUUGGCCUGGGUCCCCGU